UAUUGCGGAUAGGAAAUUAAAUCUUUUAAUGAAACCAACACAAAGAGCAUACUUAUAAGUUCUUUAUUGUUUCAGUAUCGUAAUCGAAGACUUUGAUUCGGCUAAAAACACGAGCAAAGAUGACUGUUUAACGCAAGAAGCUCCCGUGUACCAAAGAACACAGAGGCCUUAUACAAGGCAGACAUCAGAUGCGACAAUUAGAAAAAUAUUGGAAGAAGCGGAACAUCGAAAACACGAAUUUUGGAAGUUAAUCGAUGAACACUCGGCAGUUGUUGAAAACUU